GUAUCCUCUAGGUAUCCUCUAGGUGUCCUCUAGGUAUCCUCUAGCUGUCCUCUAGGUGUCCUCUAGGUAUCCUCUAGGUGUCCUCUAGGUAUCCUCUAGGUAUCCUCUAGGUGUCCUCUACUCUAGGUGUUCUCUAGGUAUCCUUUAGCUGUCCUCUAGGUAUGCUCUAGGUAUCCUCUAGGUAUCCUCUAGGUAUCCUCUAGGUGUCCUCUACUCUAGGUGUUCUCUAGGUAUCCUUUAGCUGUCCUCUAGGUAUGCUCUAGCUGUCCUCUAGGUAUCCUCUAGGUAUCCUCUAGGUAUCCUCUAGCUGUCCUCUAGGUAUCCUCUAGGUAUCCUCUAGGUGUCCUCUACUCUAGGUGUUCUCUAGGUAUCCUUUAGCUGUCCUCUAGGUAUGCUCUAGCUGUCCUCUAGGUAUCCUCUAGGUAUCCUCUAGGUAUCCUCUAGCUGUCCUCUAGGUAUCCUCUAGGUAUCCUCUAGCUGUCCUCUAGCUGUCCUCUAGGUAUCCUCUAGCUGUUCUCUAGCUAUCCUCUACUCUAGGUGUUCUCUAGGUAUCCUUUAGGUGUCCUCUAGGUAUCCUCUAGCUGUUCUCUAGCUAUCCUCUACUCUAGGUGUUCUCUAGGUAUCCUCUAGCUGUUCUCUAGCUAUCCUCUACUCUAGCUGUCCUCUAGGUAUCCUCUAGCUGUGCUCUAGGUAUCCUCUAGCUGUGCUCUAGGUGUCCUCUAGCUAUCCUCUAGGUACUUUCCCCAGUCCAGCUCUCUUUCAUCAGUGCAGAUUAAGGAAAGGAGUUGAAUCAGAAGAAGAGACAAAACGGGUGUGUCUCAAAUGUAACCCUUUUCACUUCAUAGUGCCCUACUUUUGACCCCGAACUUUAACCUUGUUCAAAAGUUGUGCACUAUGAAUAAGGUCCCAUUUGGAACGCAGACAAUACUGUAUGUCUAGGCUAUUGACACGCACCUAGAGGGGGAUUGACAUAUAGAUAAUUGAAGAGGUUCAUCCACAGGAGGAUAAAACAGAGUGGUACAGGAG
rnacentral:lncRNA from 1 species